rnacentral:rRNA from 1 species
AUUGAACGCUGGCGGCAUGCCUUACACAUGCAAGUCGAACGGCAGCGGACCUUCGGGUGCCGGCGAGUGGCGAACGGGUGAGUAAUAUAUCGGAACGUACCUUUCAGUGGGGGAUAACGUAGCGAAAGUUACGCUAAUACCGCAUAUUCUGUGAGCAGGAAAGCAGGGGAUCGCAAGACCUUGCGCUGAUUGAGCGGCCGAUGUCAGAUUAGCUAGUUGGUGAGGUAAAGGCUCACCAAGGCGACGAUCUGUAGCGGGUCUGAGAGGAUGAUCCGCCACACUGGAACUGAGACACGGUCCAGACUCCUACGGGAGGCAGCAGUGGGGAAUUUUGGACAAUGGGCGCAAGCCUGAUCCAGCCAUGCCGCGUGAGUGAAGAAGGCCU